rnacentral:rRNA from 1 species
AUAAAUUCUGCUCAAUGAAAUUAAUUAAAUAGCCGCAGUAAAUUAACUGUGCUAAGGUAGCAUAAUAAUUAGUUUUUUAAUUAAAAACUAGAAUGAAAGAGAAAAUGAAAAAUUAACUUUUUAAUUAUAAUAAAUAAAUAUAAAUUAAUUUAUAAGUUAAAAAUCUUAUAUAAAAUAAAAAGACAAGAAGACCCUUUAGAAUUUUAUAAAUAAAAAAAUUUAAUAAUUAUAAAUUUGAAUAUUUAUUAAGUUGGGGAGACUAUGAAAUAUUAAAAACUUUCACUUUUUUAAAACAAAAAUAAAUGAAUCUAUAAAUAUCCAGUUAACAGCCGAAUAAAAAACAAAUUACCUAAGGGAUAACAGCGUAAAAUUUCUAAAAAGAUCAAAUUUACAGAAUAAAUUACGACCUCGAUGUUGGAUUAAGAAAAAAUUAUAAAGAAGAAUUUAUAAAAAUUAGGUCUGUUCGACCUUUAAUCUCUU